rnacentral:rRNA from 1 species
CCUACGGGAGGCAGCAGUGGGGAAUAUUGGACAAUGGGCGAAAGCCUGAUCCAGCCAUGCCGCGUGUGUGAAGAAGGCCUUCGGGUUGUAAAGCACUUUCAGUGGGGAAGAAAGCCUUGGGGCUAAUACCCUCGAGGAAGGACAUCACCCACAGAAGAAGCACCGGCUAACUCCGUGCCAGCAGCCGCGGUAAUACGGAGGGUGCGAGCGUUAAUCGGAAUUACUGGGCGUAAAGCGCGCGUAGGCGGUCUGAUAAGCCGGUUGUGAAAGCCCCGGGCUCAACCUGGGAACGGCAUCCGGAACUGUCAGGUUAGAGUGAAGGAGAGGAAGGUAGAAUUCCCGGUGUAGCGGUGAAAUGCGUAGAGAUCUGGAGGAAUACCAGUGGCGAAGGCGGCCUUCUGGACUGACACUGACGCUGAGGUGCGAAAGCGUGGGUAGCAAACAGGAUUAGAUACCCGAGUAGUC